AUACGGAGGGUGCAAGCGUUAUUCGGAAUCACUGGGCGUAAAGGACGCGUAGGCGGGUUGGCAAGUCAGAUGUGAAAUCCUACAGCUUAACUGUAGAACUGCAUUUGAAACUGCUAACCUAGAGUGUGGGAGGGGGAGAUGGAAUUAGUGGUGUAGGGGUAAAAUCCGUAGAUAUCACUAGGAAUACCGAAAGCGAAGGCGAUCUCCUGGAACAUAGCUGACGCUAAGGCGUGAAAGCGUGGGGAGCAAACAGGAUUAGAAACCCUAGUAGUCC
rnacentral:rRNA from 1 species